GGUCAUACGAUUAACCCAAGUUAAUAAAUUUCGGCGUAAAGCGUGUUUAGAAGUAAACAAAAAUAAAAUCAAAUAUUGACCAAACUGUAAAAAGUACUAGUCAUAAACAAAACCAGCAACGAAAGCGAUUUUAGAAUCUUUUGAGCACACGAUAGCUAAGACCCAAACUGGGAUUAGAUACCCCACUAUGCUUAGCCUUAAACCUUAAUAAAUUCAUAACAAAAUUAUUCGCCAGAGAACUACAAGCCAGAGCUUAAAACUCAAAGGACUUGGCGGUGCUUUAUACCCACCUAGAGGAGCCUGUUCUAUAAUCGAUAAACCCCGCUAAACCUUACCACUCUUUGCCAACUCAGCUUAUAUACCGCCAUCUUCAGCAAACCCUA
rnacentral:rRNA from 1 species